UACAGAGGGUGCGAGCGUUAAUCGGAUUUAUUGGGCGUAAAGAGCUCGUAGGCGGCUUGUUGCGUCAGCUGUGAAAACCCGCAGCUCAACUGUGGGCUUGCAGCUGAUACGGGCAGGCUUGAGUUCGGUAGGGGAGACUGGAAUUCCUGGUGUAGCGGUGAAAUGCGCAGAUAUCUGGAGGAACACCGAUGGCGAAGGCAGGUCUCUGGGCCACUACUGACGCUGAGAAGCGAAAGCAUGGGGAGCGAACAGG
rnacentral:rRNA from 1 species